rnacentral:tRNA from 1 species
GCCUGGUUAGCUCAAUCGGUAGAGCGUGAGACUCUUAGGUUUCACCUUCUCAAGAAGCGAUUGAUCCAAUCUCAAGGUUGCGGGGUGAGUUCACCUCUUAAAUACCCAGCAUCAAGUUAGUGACUAACCAUGUUACAGUUCGACCCCCGCAUCGGGCU